CUGCAGUCAAUUAAGCUGACUGGAUUCCCUGCUGGUGGGUGCCGGCAGCACACAGCAACCUCUCUGGUAGUGUAUACAGCCUGCUGCUUGUACAGGCUGCCCUAAGGGACCUUGGAGACACUC
rnacentral:snoRNA from 1 species